AUUGAACGCUGGCGGCAGGCCUAACACAUGCAAGUCGAACGAGUGGCGGACGGGUGAGUAAUGUCUGGAAACUGCCCGAUGGCGGGGGAUACCUACUGGCAACGGUAGCUAUUACCGCAUACCAUCGGGUGUCCCCCGAUGGGAUUAGCUAGUAGGUGGUGUAACGGCGCACCUAGGCGAAGAUCCCUAGCUGGUCUGAGAGGAUGACCAGCCACACGGGAACUGAGACACGGUCCAGAAUCCUACGGUAGGCAGCAGUGGGGAAUAUUGAACAAUGGGCGAAAGCCUGAUGCAGCCAUGCCGCGUGUAUGAAGAAGGCCUUCGGGUUGUAAAGUACUUUCAGCGAGGAGGCGUUACUCGCAGAAGAAGCACCGGCUAACUCCGUGCCAGCAGCCGCGGUAAUUC
rnacentral:rRNA from 1 species